rnacentral:rRNA from 1 species
UAGGGAAUCUUCCACAAUGGGCGCAAGCCUGAUGGAGCAACACCGCGUGAGUGAAGAAGGGUUUCGGCUCGUAAAGCUCUGUUGUUGGAGAAGAACGUGCGUGAGAGUAACUGUUCACGCAGUGACGGUAUCCAACCAGAAAGUCACGGCUAACUACGUGCCAGCAGCCGCGGUAAUACGUAGGUGGCAAGCGUUAUCCGGAUUUAUUGGGCGUAAAGCGAGCGCAGGCGGUUGCUUAGGUCUGAUGUGAAAGCCUUCGGCUUAACCGAAGAAGUGCAUCGGAAACCGGGCGACUUGAGUGCAGAAGAGGACAGUGGAACUCCAUGUGUAGCGGUGGAAUGCGUAGAUAUAUGGAAGAACACCAGUGGCGAAGGCGGCUGUCUGGUCUGCAACUGACGCUGAGGCUCGAAAGCAUGGGGUAGCGAACAGGAUUAGAUACCC